AGAGUUUGAUCAUGGCUCAGAACGAACGCUGGCGGCGUGGAUAAGACAUGCAAGUCGAGCGGGAUUUCCUUUGGUAGCAAUACUGAGGAAAAUUCAGCGGCGAACGGGUGCGUAACACGUGGGCAAUCUGUCUUAAAGUGGGGGAUAGCUCGGCGAAAGCCGAAUUAAUACCGCAUGUGAUCAGAGGCGACAUCGCUUCGAAAUCAAAGGUGGCGCAAGCUACCGCUUUUUGAGGGGCCCGCGGCCUAUCAGCUUGUUGGUGAGGUAACGGCUCACCAAGGCUAUGACGGGUAGCUGGUCUGAGAGGACGACCAGUCACACUGGGACUGAGACACGGCCCAGACACCUACGGGUGGCAGCAGUCGAGAAUUUUUGACAAUGGGGGAAACCCUGAUCGAGCGACGCCGCGUGGAGGAUGAAGGUCUUCGGGUUGUAAACUCCUGUCAUUUGGGAACAAGGCGCGUGUAUUAACUGUGCACGCGUUGAUAGUACCAGAAGAGGAAGGGACGGCUAACUCUGUGCCAGCAGCCGCGGUAAUACAGAGGUCUCAAGCGUUGUUCGGAUUCAUUGGGCGUAAAGGGUGUGUAGGUGGCGCCGUAAGUCGGGUGUGAAAUUUCGAGGCUUAACCUCGAAACUGCAUUCGAUACUGCGGUGCUUGAGGACUGGAGAGGAGACUGGAAUUUACGGUGUAGCAGUGAAAUGCGUAGAUAUCGUAAGGAAGACCAGUGGCGAAGGCGGGUCUCUGGACAGUUCCUGACACUGAGACACGAAGGCCAGGGGAGCAAACGGGAUUAGAUACCCUAGUAGUCC
rnacentral:rRNA from 1 species